ensembl:lncRNA
CCCUCGUCUCGCGCAGGCCAAUGGCGCCGCCCCGCUCGUCCCGCCCCGCCCCCGGCACACCGAGAAGGGUGGGCUCCGGGCGGUGCCGGAGGGGCUGCGGGGAAGGUUCGGGGAGUCAGACCCGAGAGAUGUCCCCGUACCAUGACGAGGGCGCCCGGAGACGCUUGGAGGAAGCAGCCCAGACUCUGCCGGGAGGGUUCAGGGUGUGGGCGGAGUCCGGACCCUUGGGUGACCAAGACCCUUGGGUUUCCAACAAAGGCCGCUGCGUGGGCGCCGAAAUUACUAGUGAGCACUGGGGAGGACGUUAUCAGUUAAAGCCCGAGCGUUGUCAUCUUUUUUACUCACGGGGCACUGGUGUGUGGUCCUGCUGUUUGAUUGGGCGUGGACUCUCAGAGCUCCACCGCGUUUUAGAAAUCGGAUCCGAUGGUGAAGAGGAGAGAAACUUCUCUUUCAGUCGCUGCCGGCUGAAGGAGGAUUUGCCUGCACGGAGGCCUUUCGGAAGCUCAGAGACUUCAGUGCUUCUGGGGCUUUCGCUGCCUUCCCAGGCCUCCCGCAGAUCUAUGUCACCUCGCCACCCACACUUCACACACCUUGCCACCUUCUACUUGGCUCUGCUCCUGGAGGAUGCUGACGAUGUGGGGCUGCCAGAAACUCGAUGAUCAUGAGUGGACAUCGUAAUGGCCACAAGUUGCUAACAUCUCAGAAAUAAGAGAGUCUGGUGUUGCUUGGGAACCAGAAUUCCUAUGAACAGCCAGAUACCGACUGAGAUCCAAGGCGGCAAAAUAAUAAACGAUUAAGACCUUCCCUCAAGCCAGGAUGUUAAACAGCCAAAGGAAGUGGAGGCUUUCCAGAUGGAAAAGAAAGGAACCUUGAGAGAGAGAGAGCACAGAGCAUUUGCGCAAACAAGGGCCAUUUGUCCAGUUCCUGGGCUUUGUAUUUCAAAGAAGACCAUCCUCAGGGCACUCUGGGGAGACUCCCCAGCCAGAGAAUGUGGCUGCUGCUGUGUUCUGGAAGGAAGAACAGCCCUCUAGCUCUUCUCCCAAGCAUGCAGUUUCUAAGGAAUGUGAAACAUCCUCAACGGGAAAGGGGCGCGCGGGCCAGACUUGACCCUUUAACCUUGUGUUUAAAAAGAUGUUUCAGCGGGGUUGGCCUCACCUCUGAACCUGCCCUCAGAGCCACCCCUGUUUAGUUCUUGGUGUGCCGGGGGCUAGCUUCCCCAAGUUUCCUUCCCAGCCUCUGGAACUGUGAACUCGAGAUCUGUGUGUCUAAGGCAGGGUCAUGCCCUAUAAUAAACGUCUUAGGUUUUGUGUCCAUUGGGGAAUCGUCUCUGGAAUCUCACAUUGGAAACUCCCUCUCGGCAUAAUAAACAGGAUGUCAACCUUACAGCUGGGACAGAAUUAGAGCAAUCAGUGUAUUUGUCACAGUUCUCCAGAGAAAUUGAUAGCCAGAUAGAUAGAUAUGAGAGAGAGAGAAAGAGAGAUAUUGAGAUUUAUUUUAGGGAAGUGGCUCACGUGAUUGUGGGGGCUGACAGGUCCUAAAUCUCUUGGGCAGGCCGGCAAGCUAGAGACUCAGAUAAGACUUGAUAUUGCAGUCUGGAGUCUAGAAUCUGCAGGCUAGCACACCGGAAGCGCAGGCGGGGGUUCUCCGUUACAAUCUUGAGGCAGAAUUGCAUCUUCCUUGGGAAACCUCUGUCUUUCCUGCAAGGCCUCCAACUGACUGGGUGAGCCCAUCCCGUUCUGGAGGAAGGUAAUCUGUUUUACUGGAAGUCUACUGAUUUAAAUGUUAAUCACAUCUCAACAAACACCUUCACAGCAGCAUUUAGACUGGUAUUUGACCAUGGAAUGGGGUGCCAUGGCUUAGCCAAGUGGACACAGAAAACUAACCAUCACAAUCAGUGAGUUUGGCCAACAGUUUAUACCCCAUCUUGUCCUUCUGAGGACAGACUCUGUGGCAGAUACUGGGCAUUCGAAGACUCUUCAGGAUGUGACGUGCCUUCUUUCCCAGGGAUUUCAUGUUUUAAUGUACCUAUGUAAUCUGUGGCGAUUUUUGAGGAAAUUUGCUUCUCUAUUGGCCAAAUUGGUCUAAAUUAGAAGUUGGCAAACAUUUUCAGUAAAGGGCCAGAGAAUAUCUAUUUUCGUAUUUGUAGACCACACCAUUUCUCUUACCACAACUCAAGCUAUAGAUAAUCUGAAAUGAAUGGUGUGGUUGUGUUCCAAUAAAACUCUAUUUAGAAAAACAGGCAGAGGGCCGCCUGAUUUGGUCCAUGGGUAAAGAUUGAGUUUGGGGUGAUAUUAGACCUUUUCUCCCUGCGAAACCUGGCACAAGGGGUGGGGAAACUACACCCUGGGUUGGGAAGCUUUCAGCUGUGAGGAGUAAAAAACUCAAAGUGGGUUUUAACAUCUCAUAUAACAAAAAAAAGCCCAGGAAUGGAUAGUUCCGGGGUUAAGUCUAGGUCCCAAAGGCAUCUUCAAGAACCAAAGUUCUUCCCACCUCCGUACUCUGUCAUCUUCAGCAUAUCGGUCUAGUUCUCCCUGGUAUUUGCAAAUGGUUCCUGUACUUCCUGGCAGACAUGACCACGUUCAAUGGAAGAAGAAAAAGGGUGUGCUCCAGUGCAGCUCAUUUUAGUAGCAAAGAAGCCUUUUCCAGGGGGUACUGGGCCAUCUCCCUCAGCUCCCACUGGCCAGAAUGAGGUUGUGAGCAUGCUACCGAGGUUGGACCCUCUGUGACUGGCUGGGUGAAACGCAUGGUGGCCAAGGGGAUGAAGGUCGAUUAACCAUGAAAAUUCAGGCUCUACCAGCAAGCCCGCCAUUAACGGUGUCCCUGGGAACAAGCCCAGUAAUGCCUACAGUCACUGCCGAGCCCUAGAAGAAGCCAGCAAUGCCUGCGGUAAAUUCUGGGUCUAUCACAAGAGGGGGGCCGAGAGGGGGGCCAGAGUGGGGGCAAAUUGCUGCCGUGUGAUAAGUGAGCAGAGUUUGAAAGGAAAGAAGGAGGGAAACAGUCUGGAGAGUAAUUCAGGGGAGCGGGUUUCCUCUGUGAAGUGCCACGUAAAGGGGCUGGGUGGGCCCAGUGGAGGCUCUGGUUAACUGUGAGGGAACCCUGGCUAGAGAAAGGGAACCCCCCAAGCCAGAAAAAUGGGAACUGAAAAUGUCCCUGGAGGAAUGAAGAGUGCCCAGGGGACCUGCGGUCAGCAGGCUCCCCCCUCCCUCACCCGGUUGCUAGGAAAGUCUAGGCCAACAAACUCCAGGCUCAGGGGAGGGGCAAGAAGCCUUGGGAGGCUGUGGGGCUGGUGUCAAAAUGACGUUGUCUUAGCUAUUCCUCCUUGCGUGGGGGGGUGACCCUGCCGAGGCUGGGGUUUUUAUUCUGGAUUUGGAGGCAGCCCAUGCAGGAGGGCUGAACACAGCUCCCAGGCUCUGCUGGGCCUAGCUCUGCUCCGGCCCAUCAGCCACCAGGGAAAUCCAAAAAAUGCCAGCACCCACCCUCCCCCGUGUGAUAGCCCGAUGCUGAUCAGGUUGGGGUGCGGGGUGCAGAAGAGCCCAUCUAGCCCUUUCCUUCCCUUUCCUUUCCUUCCCUUUUUUUUUUCAAGAAAAAUUCAAUUGUUUUUUAAUGAUACACGAUAAUGGAUAAUACACAAGCUUCAUUCUUAUCUAUAGUUCUAUCCGGUACCAUAAUUCAAUUUAGACACACUGCGUAGGAUGUGACAACAAUCAUAUUAAUAACCAAAUAACCUUCGUGACUUUGUUUGGAUGACAGUUUUAACAGUGAACUCCAGGUCACAACACAGUAACCAUCACCAAGGUUUCGGAAGACAAUGGCUUCUCUGCCCAAGCAGGUUGUAAAUACGUUUUGAAUGGAACUUGGCAGCCCCUGAAGGGAUUCUAACUGUUGGAAUCAUUUGUCAGGACAGCUUCAGAGCGGACUGAGUCUGCGGAGGUGAGGGUGCUUAGUGCUCAGGAGAGAAACCACGCCCAGGCAUGUGAGCGCAAGGGUGAAAAAUGAGGUAAACCGAGUCACAACCAACGUGGGGAGCUGGUUUUCUGCCUUGAUCCACUUGACUCGGUUCUCCCCACUCUCUGACUUUCUUGACCCCUCCCUGUCCCUUGCCUCCUCUCCUUCGAUCCCUGGGAAAAAUUAGUUUCAGAUGACUUGAUUGGAAGGGAUCUUAGGGUCAUCUGCUCCAUACUCUUCUCAUUCAGAAGAUGAGGGGGGAGAGGCCCAGAGGAAGGGGCAC